rnacentral:rRNA from 1 species
UACGGGGGGGGCAAGCGUUGUUCGGAAUUACUGGGCGUAAAGGGCUCGUAGGUGGCCAACUAAGUCCGACGUGAAAUCCCUCGGCUUAACCGGGGAACUGCGUCUGAUACUGGAUGGCUUGAGUUUGGGAGAGGGACGCGGAAUUCCAGGUGUAGCGGUGAAAUGCGUAGAUAUCUGGAGGAACACCGGUGGCGAAGGCGGCGUCCUGGACCAACACUGACAUUGAGGAGCGAAAGCCAGGGGAGCAAACGGG